UUGCUUGCAAUCCGCUGACGACCGGCGCACGGGUGCGUAACGCGUAUGCAACCUACCUUUUACAGGGGUAUAGUCAAGAGAAAUUUUGAAUAACACCCCAUACGAUCAUUUUUACACCUGUAAAGAUGAAGAAAACUCCGGUGGUAAAAGAUGGGCAUGCGUCCUAUUAGUUAGUUGGUGAGGUAACGGCUCACCAAGACCGCGAUAGGUAGGGGUCCUGAGAGGGAGAUCCCCCACACUGGUACUGAGACACGGACCAGACUCCUACGGGAGGCAGCAGUGAGGAAUAUUGGACAAUGGAGGCAACUCUGAUCCAGCCAUGCCGCGUGCAGGAAGACUGCCCUAUGGGUUGUAAACUGCUUUUAUACAGGAAGAAACCUUGGUACGUGUACCAAGCUGACGGUACUGUAAGAAUAAGGAUCGGCUAACUCCGUGCCAGCAGCCGCGGUAAUACGGUUGAUCCAAGCGUUAUCCGGAAUCAUUGGGUUUAAAGGGUCCGCAGGCGGUCUUUUAAGUCAGAGGUGAAAUCCUAUCGCUCAACGAUAGAACUGCCUUUGAUACUGAAAGACUUGAGUUAUUGUGAAGUGGU
rnacentral:rRNA from 1 species